GGGCCCGUAGCUUAGUCUGGAUAGAGCACCUGGCUUCGGACCAGGAGGUCGCGGGUUCAAAUCCCGUCGGGCCCA
rnacentral:tRNA from 1 species